UCUUCUUCUUCUUCUUCUUCUUCUUCUUCUUCUUCCAUGGCAGUUUGGACAGAGGCGCGCGCAGAGAGGCAGUCUUUAAUCAGGCUUUACGGGCUGGAAAGUGAGAGAAUCUAAACGUGACGUCAAUGCCUAGUAACUGACGCAGCCCUUCAACAUAAAAUGGCUUUUUAUUUAUUUAUUUAUUUCCCCCCACCACCACCACCCCUCCUGCUCUCUCUUCUCGUCAGCAAAGCUUAAUUACUCAAAUUUACAGCGCUCCGUCAACUAAAGAAAAAAGAAGGAAAGAAAGGGAAAGAAAAUCCCCUGCAGGCGGCGCCGGGCGGUCCGCGUCCAUCACUACUUGGACAGAUUUGGCGGUCAGGAGUUUCGGUGAGCUGAAGUAACACCGGAACCAGAAGCUUCUGAAGAGGGCGACAAGACAUCAGAUGUAGCCGAUGUGUUCACAGUGUAGUUGUUAGGAAGGAAAGUGACGAUGAAAGGAUCAAAACUGACUUCUUUUAUUUAUUUAUUUUAUUUUAUUUUAUUUUUAUUUUUUGGCGCAAAGAUGGGGAACGCUCUUGAGCAGAGUUGGAGAAACAGACAGCCAAAAAAAAAGAAAAGAAAAAAAAGACAUGAUGCACUUCACGUAAAGAUCCCAAGCGAUGCACUCGUGAGUGUACGCUUCCCCCCCCCUUUUUUUUUUUUUUUUUUGCACUGCUAAAAAUAGCAUUAUAGUUUUGAUCGUGAGCCAGAAAUAGACAGACGUGUUUCACUUUUGUAAAGAAAAAAAAAGAGAAAGAAACAAAGAAAGAAAGGAGGCGAUCCAACUUGGACGUGCUACUCUUUGAGAGAGGACGGGCCACACUCACGGUGAGAGACAUCUGCACACGCAAUGUUGAUCCUCAUGUACUUCUAUGUCUCUGUAUGUGUGUGUGUGUGUGUGUGUGUGUAUUUAUAUAUAAAUACACACAGUGUUAUAUUUAUAUAUAUUUGUGUGUGUAUGUGCAUGCUUCUCUUCCUUCCUUCUGCUCUGCCUCGUACUUGACUCCAAGUCAUUCGGAGGAUUUUUUUUUUAAAUUAUUUUUUUGGGGAGACACAGCUCUUCCUGCAGAGCAGGAAUCUCCCCCUUUUUCAGUAAAUAAGCUCGAGCAGGGGAAAAAAAAGUCUCUUUGUUUGUUGGCGCUGUUGAGUCUCUAUUACGCGUUUAAUUCUCCUCCCUCCCAUUUCUGUGCUUAACCGCGACAGCGAAGGGGGGAAACCCUGCUCUGAUUAGCGCUUUACGGACGACUUUCCCAUCGGUUUCUUGCUUUAUUUUUUGUAUUUUUAUUUUUUUUACUCUUAACGUCCAAAAGAAGAAUCGUGUUGACAGAAAAGCCGCUGGAAGAAAAGGAGGAGAGAAGGGAGCUGCUGCUGCUGCUGCUGCAGAGAGCUGGGCGCACCGCAUGGGGAAACCCGGGAGCUGUCCAAGCAGCAGUGGUGCUGAAACUACACCAAGUGGCAGUAGUGGGCUGUUGCUGUGCAUGCGUGUACGUGUGUCUUUUUAUAUGCAUGUGUGUGUGUGUGUGUGUAUAUAUAUAUAUCUAUAUAUAUAUAUAUAUAUAUAUAUAUGUGUGUGUGUGUGUGUGUGUGUGUGAAUACUCUGGAGUUUAGCUGGUGUUGUUUUUGGGCCACUGCUUGGGUGUGUUUUCUCUCUCUCUCUUUUUUUUUCUGAAGAUAAAACUUCCUCGCAGUCAAUGACUGGAGACAGACAGACAAACUGUAGCAGAGCUUUUGUCUAGCGUAAAACUUUAAAUCGCCUCAUCCGAAGCCGGGGGGAUUAAAGAAAGAGAGAAGACGAAGAGGCAUCAGGAAAAUUUGGAUCAGCGUAGAAAACACCUGAUCCCCCCACCCCCACCCCUCAGCCCUCCAGCGUUUUCAUUUUUAUCCGUGUUUGCAGUUCUUUAUUAUCUUUUGCUUCCCGGCGAGCGGAGGGCGAACACGAGUGGGAGAUGAAGCAGCAGCUGCCUGCCACCGUGGCCUCUAGCCUCUCAGACAGAGGGAAGGGAAAAGGAGAAAGGGAUACCCCCCCAAGCCUCCCCCCACCUUUUUUUUUGUUUUUAACGUGGUGGAGGCACUAUGGCGACUGUCUGCAAGGCUCUGCGAGCCCGGCAGGGACAGCAGCGGACAGCACGCUGCCCUGACAAUCAGAAUGAGACAAAUUUCUCAGCAUUGCGAACUUCGAGGCUUCCGUACAACAAAGAAGGAUAGGAGGGAGACGAGGGGGAGAGAGAAAAACCGUAACAAACGCCUUUUCCAUGCAAAAAACAACAACAACAACAAAAAAAAUCCGUCUUCGGGCGACAUUUACGAUACAUCGCUCCACCUCUUAAAAAACAACACACACACAGCAAAGAAAGAAAAACAAUAACAGGAAAAAGACACAAUUUCUUCUAUCCUUUCGUGGCGUAAAACGCGCCCGUGUCGAGCCCUCGCGCAGUAAUGCAACACCGAGCGUGUAAUUUCAGUGGAAACAACGCGGAUUCCCGAGUCGUGACUGCCAAAGUGAGUCAUGUGCGCGUUGGCUGCGUCAGGAGAGGCAGUCACUGUGCAGCGCCGACGGUAGGGGGAAGAGUCGUGACUGACUGAGCUGCAAAUAAAAAAAGACCACCCAAUAAAAAAAAGAAA